UACGGAGGGUGCAAGCGUUAUCCGGAUUCACUGGGGUUAAAGGGUGCGUAGGCGGAUAGGUAAGUCCGUGGUGAAAUCCUGCAGCUUAACUGCAGAACUGCCAUGGAUACUAUUUAUCUUGAAUAUCGUGGAGGUUAGCAGAAUAUGUCAUGUAGCGGUGAAAUGCUUAGAUAUGACAUAGAAUACCCAUUGCGAAGGCAGCUAACUACGCGAUGAUCGACGCUGAUGCACGAAAGCGUGGGGAUCAAACAGG
rnacentral:rRNA from 1 species